AAGUCGUAACAAGGUUUCCGUAGGUGAACCUGCGGAAGGAUCAUUAUCGAACACACGAAGGGAACUGUCGCUGGCUUCGGCAUGUGCACGUUCUUUUCUCUCACUCACACUUGUGCACCAUCUGUAGGCCCUCGAAAGAGGAUCUAUGUUUUCCAUUCACACCGAUCGCAUGUCCAUAGAAUGUCAUAAUGAAAUACAACUUUCAGCAACGGAUCUCUUGGCUCUC
rnacentral:misc_RNA from 1 species